rnacentral:rRNA from 1 species
AACGAACGCUGGCGGCAUGCCUAACACAUGCAAGUCGAACGAGACCUUCGGGUCUAGUGGCGCACGGGUGCGUAACGCGUGGGAACCUGCCCUUAGGUUCGGAAUAACUCCCCGAAAGGGGUGCUAAUACCGGAUAAUGUCUUCGGACCAAAGAUUUAUCGCCUUUGGAUGGGCCCGCGUUGGAUUAGCUAGUUGGUAGGGUAAAAGCCUACCAAGGCGACGAUCCAUAGCUGGUCCGAGAGGAUGAUCAGCCACACUGGGACUGAGACACGGCCCAGACUCCUACGGGAGGCAGCAGUGGGGAAUAUUGGACAAUGGGCGAAAGCCUGAUCCAGCAAUGCUGCGUGAGUGAUGAAGGCCUUAGGGUUGUAAAGCUCUUUUACCCGGGAUGAUAAUGACAGUACCGGGAGAAUAAGCUCCGGCUAACUCCGUG